rnacentral:rRNA from 1 species
UACGUAGGGGGCAAGCGUUGUCCGGAUUUAUUGGGCGUAAAGAGCGUGUAGGCGGUCAGGUAGGUCCGUUGUGAAAACUCGAGGCUCAACCUCGAGACGUCGGUUGAAACCAUCUGGCUAGAGUCCGGAAGAGGAGUGUGGAAUUCCCGGUGUAGCGGUGAAAUGCGCAGAUAUCGGGAAGAACACCCGUGGCGAAGGCGGCACUCUGGGACGGUACUGACGCUGAGACGCGAAAGCGUGGGGAGCGAACGGG